rnacentral:rRNA from 1 species
CGCGACCCCAGGUCAAGCGGGGCUACCCGCUGAGUUUAAGCAUAUCAAUAAGCGGAGGAAAAGAAACUAACAAGGAUUCCCCUAGUAACGGCGAGCGAACCGGGAAGAGCCCAGCAUGAGAAUCGAGCGCCCUCGGCGUUCGAAUUGUAGUCUGGAGAAGCGUCA